GGGCGGCAGCUACACAUGCAAGUCGAGCGGUAGCACAGAGAGCUUGCUCUCGGGUGACGAGCGGCGGACGGGUGAGUAAUGUCUGGGAAACUGCCUGAUGGAGGGGGAUAACUACUGGAAACGGUAGCUAAUACCGCAUAAUGUCGCAAGACCAAAGUGGGGGACCUUCGGGCCUCAUGCCAUCAGAUGUGCCCAGAUGGGAUUAGCUAGUAGGUGGGGUAACGGCUCACCUAGGCGACGAUCCCUAGCUGGUCUGAGAGGAUGACCAGCCACACUGGAACUGAGACACGGUCCAGACUCCUACGGGAGGCAGCAGUGGGGAAUAUUGCACAAUGGGCGCAAGCCUGAUGCAGCCAUGCCGCGUGUGUGAAGAAGGCCUUCGGGUUGUAAAGCACUUUCAGCGGGGAGGAAGGCGGUAAGGUUAAUAACCUUGUCGAUUGACGUUACCCGCAGAAGAAGCACCGGCUAACUCCGUGCCAGCAGCCGCGGUAAUACGGAGGGUGCAAGCGUUAAUCGGAAUUACUGGGCGUAAAGCGCACGCAGGCGGUCUGUCAAGUCGGAUGUGAAAUCCCCGGGCUCAACCUGGGAACUGCAUUCGAAACUGGCAGGCUAGAGUCUUGUAGAGGGGGGUAGAAUUCCAGGUGUAGCGGUGAAAUGCGUAGAGAUCUGGAGGAAUACCGGUGGCGAAGGCGGCCCCCUGGACAAAGACUGACGCUCAGGUGCGAAAGCGUGGGGAGCAAACAGGAUUAGAUACCCUGGUAGUCCACGCCGUAAACGAUGUCGAUUUGGAGGUUGUGCCCUUGAGGCGUGGCUUCCGGAGCUAACGCGUUAAAUCGACCGCCUGGGGAGUACGGCCGCAAGGUUAAAACUCAAAUGAAUUGACGGGGGCCCGCACAAGCGGUGGAGCAUGUGGUUUAAUUCGAUGCAACGCGAAGAACCUUACCUGGUCUUGACAUCACACAGAACUUACCAGAGAUGGAUUGGUGCCUUCGGGAACUGUGAGACAGGUGCUGCAUGGCUGUCGUCAGCUCGUGUUGUGAAAUGUUGGGUUAAGUCCCGCAACGAGCGCAACCCUUAUCCUUUGUUGCCAGCGGUUAGGCCGGGAACUCAAAGGAGACUGCCAGUGAUAAACUGGAGGAAGGUGGGGAUGACGUCAAGUCAUCAUGGCCCUUACGACCAGGGCUACACACGUGCUACAAUGGCAUAUACAAAGAGAAGCGACCUCGCGAGAGCAAGCGGACCUCAUAAAGUAUGUCGUAGUCCGGAUUGGAGUCUGCAACUCGACUCCAUGAAGUCGGAAUCGCUAGUAAUCGUAGAUCAGAAUGCUACGGUGAAUACGUUCCCGGGCCUUGUACACACCGCCCGUCACACCAUGGGAGUGGGUUGCAAAAGAAGUAGGUAGCUUAACCUUCGGAGGCGCUACCACUUGAUCA
rnacentral:rRNA from 1 species